UGGGGAAUUUUGGACAAUGGGCGAAAGCCUGAUCCAGCAAUGCCGCGUGUGUGAAGAAGGCCUUCGGGUUGUAAAGCACUUUUGUCCGGAAAGAAAUCCUUGGCUCUAAUACAGUCGGGGGAUGACGGUACCGGAAGAAUAAGCACCGGCUAACUACGUGCCAGCAGCCGCGGUAAUACGUAGGGUGCAAGCGUUAAUCGGAAUUACUGGGCGUAAAGCGUGCGCAGGCGGUUUGCUAAGACCGAUGUGAAAUCCCCGGGCUCAACCUGGGAACUGCAUUGGUGACUGGCAGGCUAGAGUAUGGCAGAGGGGGGUAGAAUUCCACGUGUAGCAGUGAAAUGCGUAGAGAUGUGGAGGAAUACCGAUGGCGAAGGCAGCCCCCUGGCCAAUACUGACGCUCAUGCACGAAAGCGUGGGGAGCAAACAGGAUUAGAUACCCUGGUAGUCCACGCCCUAAAACGAUGUCAACUAGUUGUUGGGGAUUCAUUUCCUUAGUAACGUAGCUAACGCGUGAAGUUGACCGCCUGGGGAGUACGGUCGCAAGAUUAAAACUCAAAGGAAUUGACGGGGUCAUAGCUGUUUCCU
rnacentral:rRNA from 1 species